CCUCUCAGCAUUCCAUGGAUUCACCGUGCGGGUGCCGGGUCCAUCGUUGCAGGGAGUGGAGCUUCAACAGUGCCUGGGACUUGCGACCCAGGUGUAGGUUUAAGGGGGCCUAUCUAACGCGCGUUAAACGCUCACCUCGACCGUCCAAGCUCCUCUCUCUGCCUAACCAAAUUUGAAAAGAACCUACUAGAUACUUCUGCUCUAUGAAUGAUAAACUUAAAACUAUCUGUGUUGAGUCUGAUAUUGCAAACCCGUGGUAGGGUUACUGUUU